GAGACGGCGCUGCUCAUUGGCUACUGUGGACCUGCAAUAUUCUGUUCACUGUACGAGCGCCUAAGAUUGGCUACGUUGGAUCUGCAAUGCGUCAAGCAAUGGCGCCUAAUGUUACCUCAGUGGUUUUGGAAAAUGGUGUAACCGGACAGUCUACGUUGUAACACAGAGUAUUUUUGCAAUACUGUAAUAAUUGCUUACGACAAGACGUUUCUUUCAGUCUUUGUAGUUUCCUCCUCACCUGGCAAGGGCUCGAUUUGAGUUUUUCGGGAGGAGUGGUGGUGAUAGGCGAUUGGUCACCGUAAACAUACACGGAACAUGUAGUCGCGGAAUUUUAAAUGGCGGGUUUCGAUGAAGUCAUAGAAUUACAAUAUUAGAAAGCUUGUGCUGAUUCCAAGUAUUUUUUGUAAAUUAGACCAGUACUGGAUACAAAAAUCAAGAUUUACCAAUUUACUAUGGCUAAACAAACUGUUUAAUAGUAAUGAUGAUUGAUUUUAGACAAUUAUCUCGCAGCCUGCAACAAUCAAUGGACUGGCAAACCAUUGAAUUAACGAUGAAUCCCAACAACAUUCACGCUUUAAUCAGUUUAUGGAAGUGACUGAUUGAUUCAUGCUCAAAGAUGAAUAGGCUAAACUAAAUCAUAAAAUGUGCCAUCAAGAUAACAUGAUUUAGCCUAAAAUUAUAGCUACUACCCCUCCAACAAACCACAGUCGCUUCCGAGAUGACGUCAUAGUUAUCCGACUGUUUACAUGCAGAGGAGAACAACACAUGGCUCUAUUUCCAGCUUUUGUACGAUUAUCAAAUACAAAACCUGAGAAUGCACCUAAAGACAGCAGAUAGGGAGGAUAAGAAUGGCUACCCAUCCAAGAAGAAUAAAAAGAAGAAGAAGAAUAAAAAGAAGAAGCACAAGAAGAAGAAUGGAGAACCCUCUACAGCAAGCAGUGGCUCAUAUUCAAAUACUAUCUACUCCAGUGAUCUCCUGAAAAAGGCUGAGACUACACCUCACACUGCGUUACAGGAGGUCUACUCUGGGUGUCUAGGCUGACUGCCAGUUGAAGGAGCUCUUCUUGACAGACUCUGAACUAACUACGACACACACACACACACGUCUUUAUGCCUCUCUUUCAGGGACAGACUCCUAAACAGGAGACUUGUUGAGGAGGUGCAGUGUCAGCUGGAGGGGGAGGGGUCUUUUGUGUGGCUGGACGACCUCUAGACCCCUACCGAUUGGCCCUUCUGCGUGG